rnacentral:rRNA from 1 species
GACAGAGGUGCCGAGCGUUAGGCGGAAUCACUGGGCUUAAAGCGUGUGUAGGCGGAUCGUUAAGUACCUUGUGAAAUCCCACGGCUUAACCGUGGAACUGCUGGGUAUACUGGCGAUCUUGAGCCACCUAGGGGCAACCGGAACAAAUGGUGGAGCGGUGAAAUGCGUAGAUAUCAUUUGGAACGCCAAUGGUGAAAACAGGUAGCUGGGGCUGUGCUGACGCUGAGACACGAAAGCCAGGGGAGCAAACGGG